CUGCAUCUAAUUAAGCUGACUGGGUUCCUUUACUUGUGGUGGCCCAGUGUGCAAUGGCUGCAAACAGCAAUCUCCUUGGUAGUGUAUGCAGCCUGUUGCUCAUAUGGGGACCUUGGAGACAGCA
rnacentral:snoRNA from 1 species